AACGGGGGAUGCGAGCGUUAUCCGGAAUGAUUGGGCGUAAAGGGUCCGCAGGUGGCCCGGUCAGUCCGCUGUCAAAGCCUGGGGCUCAACCCUGGAGAGGCGGCGGAGACCACCGGGCUUGAGUCCGGUAGGGGCAGAGGGAAUUCCCGGUGGAGCGGUGAAAUGCGUAGAGAUCGGGAAGAACACCUAUGGCGAAGGCAGCUCUCUGGGACGGUACUGACGCUGAGACGCGAAAGCGUGGGGAGCGAACAGG
rnacentral:rRNA from 1 species